CACGUAGGGGACGAGCGUUGUCCGGAUUCAUUGGGCGUAAAGCGCGCGUAGGCGGCUCGGAAAGUCGGUCGUGAAAUGCCGGGGCUCAACCCCGGAAUUGCACCUCAAACUACAUGGCUAGAGCAUUGGAGAGGGUAGCGGAAUUCACGGUGUAGCAGUGAAAUGCGUAGAUAUCGUGAGGAACACCAGAGGCGAAGGCGGCUCUCUGGUCUGUAACUGACGCUGAGGCGCGAAAGCGUGGGGAGCAAACAGG
rnacentral:rRNA from 1 species